UGUACGUCCUUGGCAUGUGGGAGGAAGGCUAAGAAGACUCAGUGAAAACCCACGCAGACACUGGGAGAAUGUGCAAACACCACAGGGCAGAGUGACUGGUUGGAAGACAUAUAAGUUAUUCAUGAAAAUACCUGGAUUGAAUUGUUUCAGAUGCUGACACAAAUUCUGUCACAGCACCAAUCCUCCCUUCCCCCCUGUUCUUAGUAGCUGGCUGGCAGGAUAGCAGACCUCUUUGAAUAUUCAUUGAAAUUCUCUCGGCGUAUUGACUUGCUGUCAUCCAGGAUGCGCAAUUUAGGCUACAGUCGCCAGGCCCGUCUUCAGCUGAGUCCCUGCGCACGUAGAGGAUGCCUCUGUGUUAUCAGAUGAGGACAUGGAUUGAAAUAUUUACAGAGCUGACAGCCAGGCUCUUGAGCUUCACUGAGAUUGGCAGAGAAAGGUAAAAAGAAGAGCAAAAACAGCCAUGAAAACACAAGCUAAUCACCAGUCCUUCAGGUAUACACAACACAGCUGAUUCUGUGAGCAUCCAAGAGUGCAGAUCAGUUAGAAUGACGUCUCCGCGAUUGAUCACAAGUCCUCAGCUGACAGCUCCUUUAUUGAGCUCGAUUUCAAAUUUAAAGAUUCUCUGGCCAUUCAGCUUUCACCUUUUUGAAUUAAUUAUAUUGUGUACACUUGAACAGAUAUGAUUUCCUUAGACAAUUUUAACUUCACGGGAAAGAAAUGUUCACAGAAACAGAAUAAAUUAACAUGAUAAUAGAAAUAAACUGUUGAACAUUGCCAUUUCCUAAUCUUGCAUCACAAUGUUGUUUAACAAUACAGUGUUUUUUUUAAUUUGUUUUGUUGUUUAAGUUAGAUUAUUUCAAAGAGCAAUAUGUAAUAUGGCUACAGUGGAUUCAUGGAAGCA